GGCAGCAGCAACCCCGGGCGCAGCAAUCUUCUCGGCGGGCUCCACUUGGUUCUCCCGGGCUUUUCUCAUUGCACCGCUGAAGAGGAAUGACCAAGACAAAACAGUGAAGAAACCCCCUGAGUCACCAGCCCAUAAAUAUUGGAUCUAUUGCCAGAAGGUGGCUUACACCCUCCUGAGCAGGAAGAAGAACCCCUAACA